UGCGGGGUCUGCUAAAGGUAGGCAACCAGACUCUGAAUCUGGGAAUCUUGGUUCGAUUCCAAGCCCCGCAG
rnacentral:tRNA from 1 species